rnacentral:rRNA from 1 species
GAUAAACGCUGGCGGCGUGCAUGAGACAUGCAAGUCGGACGAGUGACUCGGGCUUGCUCGAGUCACUAGUGGCGGACGGCUGAGUAACGCGUAGGUGACCUGCCCCGAAGUGGGGAUAACUGCCCGAAAGGGUGGCUAAUACCGCAUGUGGUCACACGUUCGAUCGUGUGAGUGAAGCCGCAAGGCGCUUCGGGAGGGGCCUGCGUCCGAUUAGCUCGUUGGGGGGUAACGGCUCACCAAGGCGACGAUCGGUAGGUGGUCUGAGAGGACGAUCACCCAGACUGGGACUGGGACACGGCCCAGACUCCUACGGGAGGCAGCAGUCGGGAAUUUUGCCCAAUGGACGAAAGUCUGAGGCAGCAACGCCGCGUGAGGGAUGAAGGCCUUCGG